AAUGAACGCUGGCGGCGUGCCUAAUGCAUGCAAGUCGAGCGAAAAGAUAAGAAGAUCUCGCCCCUACCGUUAGCGGCGGACGGGUGAGUAACACGUACAUAACCUACCUAUAAUUCUGGGAUAAUAUCGUGAAAACGGUGCUAAUAACAGCUAAUACAUUGAACGGCUUGGUUCAAUAGUGAAUGACAGUUUUCCUGUUACUUUUAGCUGAUUCCGGGCCGCAUUAGCUAGUUGGUAAGGUAACGGCCUACCAAGGCAACGAUGCGUAGCCGACCUGAGAGGGUGAUCAGCCACACUGGAACUGAGACACGGUCCAGACUCCUACGGGAGGCAGCAGUAGGGAAUCUUCCGCAAUGGGCGAAAGCCUGACGCAGCAACGCCGCGUGAGUGAUGAAGGUCUUCGGGUCGUAAAACUCUGUUAUUAGGGAAGAACAACUGUAGAUGUAAACAUGGACGUCUUGACGGUACCUAAUCAGAAAGCAACGGCUAACUUCGUG
rnacentral:rRNA from 1 species